GCACUCCAGCGGAGCAGAGCAGAGCAACUAAAACUAGUCAAAGUCUAUCCAUUACACUAUUUGAUUUCAUUUCCAAUUCAGUUUCGGUUCGAAUGCGGAUUUUGUUUUGAUUGUGUUGACCGUUAACCCGUGCUCCGAAAGCCCGUUAAAGAACCGCAAAAGCAAAAAGGAGCAGAAAGAGAAACAAAAGGCAAACGCAGAGUAGACGGAACUAGCACACACGAUCCAGCAAAAAUGGCGCAACCAUUGAAAUUCUACUUUGAUUUCCUGAACCAAUCCAGUCGGGCACUCUACAUAUUCCUGGAGGCCUCCAAGAUACCGUUCGAGGCGAUACCCAUAUCGAUGCUCAAAGGCGAACACUUGACGGGUGAAUUUCGGGACAAGGUGAACCGAUUCCGAAAGCUGCCAGCGAUCACCGACCAUGGCUACCAGCUGUCGGAGAAUGUGGCCAUCUUUCGGCAUUUGGCGCGGGAGAAGCUCGUGCCGGAGCACUGGUAUCCGCGGAGACAGCUCGGACGCAGCCGCAUCGACGAGUACUUGGCCUGGCAGCAAACGAACAUGGAUGUGGCCUGCACGGACUACUUCCAGCAGAAGUGGCUGGUGCCGUAUCUGCAAAAGACGCGUCCAACGGAGAAUGCGGUGAAUGUCGCUGGCAAGCAGCUGGAGCACACGCUCAAUGAUUUCGAGCAGCUCUUCCUCAACUCGCGCAAAUUCAUGAUGGGUGACAACAUCUCGUUUGCCGAUCUCAGUGCCAUCUGUGAGAUCGAUCAGCCCAAGUCCAUUGGCUACAAUGCCUUCCAGAAUCGCAACAAGUUGGCGCGCUGGUACGAGGCUGUGCGCGACGAGCUGGGCCCCUACUACAAGGACGUUCACGGGGAGUUCGAGGCCAAGCUGAAGCAGAGCGGCAGUAGCAAUCAGGGCGUGGCCCAUGCCCUGAAGCAGUAAAGAGAGCCAGCCGCCCCAGGCCCCAAAACCACCACAAAACUUGAUUAGUUUUAACGAUUAUUAAUUAUUAAUUAUCUUUUUUUUUCUUAUCUUCUGAUCGAUCACUCCCUACACUUUCCUACCCCUUUGCCUAUCCCUUUUCCUGCAUAUAUCUAUGAUCUACUAUAUAGUUUUUAGUUGUUAAAUAUCUUAAUUAUCCAUACAUAAAGUACGCUUACAAUUGUUUAACCAAAA